rnacentral:rRNA from 1 species
UACAGAGGUCUCAAGCGUUGUUCGGAUUCAUUGGGCGUAAAGGGUGCGUAGGCGGCCAACUAAGUCAGACGUGAAAUCCCCAGGCUCAACCUGGGAACUGCGUCUGAUACUGGAUGGCUUGAAUCCGGGAGAGGGAUGCAGAAUUCCAGGUGUAGCGGUGAAAUGCGUAGAUAUCUGGAGGAAUACCGGUGGCGAAGGCGGCAUCCUGGACCGGCAUUGACGCUGAGUGAGCGAAAGCCAGGGGAGCAAACGGG